rnacentral:rRNA from 1 species
GGGUUGUGAGGUUAAGCGACUAAGCGUACACGGUGGAUGCCCUGGCAGUCAGAGGCGAUGAAGGACGUGCUAAUCUGCGAUAAGCGUCGGUAAGGUGAUAUGAACCGUUAUAACCGGCGAUUUCCGAAUGGGGAAACCCAGUGUGAUUCGUCACACUAUCAUUAACUGAAUCCAUAGGUUAAUGAGGCGAACCGGGGGAACUGAAACAUCUAAGUACCCCGAGGAAAAGAAAUCAACCGAGAUUCCCCCAGUAGCGGCGAGCGAACGGGGAGGAGCCCAGAGCCUGAAUCAGUGUGUGUGUUAGUGGAAGCGUCUGGAAAGGCGCGCGAUACAGGGUGACAGCCCCGUACACAAAAAUGCACAUACUGUGAGCUCGAUGAGUAGGGCGGGACACGUGGUAUCCUGUCUGAAUAUGGGGGGACCAUCCUCCAAGGCUAAAUACUCCUGACUGACCGAUAGUGAACCAGUACCGUGAGGGAAAGGCGAAAAGAACCCCGGCGAGGGGAGUGAAAAAGAACCUGAAACCGUGUACGUACAAGCAGUGGGAGCCUCUUUAUGGGGUGACUGCGUACCUUUUGUAUAAUGGGUCAGCGACUUAUAUUCUGUAGCAAGGUUAACCGAAUAGGGGAGCCGAAGGGAAACCGAGUCUUAACUGGGCGUUAAGUUGCAGGGUAUAGACCCGAAACCCGGUGAUCUAGCCAUGGGCAGGUUGAAGGUUGGGUAACACUAACUGGAGGACCGAACCGACUAAUGUUGAAAAAUUAGCGGAUGACUUGUGGCUGGGGGUGAAAGGCCAAUCAAACCGGGAGAUAGCUGGUUCUCCCCGAAAGCUAUUUAGGUAGCGCCUCGUGAAUUCAUCUCCGGGGGUAGAGCACUGUUUCGGCAAGGGGGUCAUCCCGACUUACCAACCCGAUGCAAACUGCGAAUACCGGAGAAUGUUAUCACGGGAGACACACGGCGGGUGCUAACGUCCGUCGUGAAGAGGGAAACAACCCAGACCGCCAGCUAAGGUCCCAAAGUCAUGGUUAAGUGGGAAACGAUGUGGGAAGGCCCAGACAGCCAGGAUGUUGGCUUAGAAGCAGCCAUCAUUUAAAGAAAGCGUAAUAGCUCACUGGUCGAGUCGGCCUGCGCGGAAGAUGUAACGGGGCUAAACCAUGCACCGAAGCUGCGGCAGCGACACUAUGUGUUGUUGGGUAGGGGAGCGUUCUGUAAGCCUGCGAAGGUGUACUGUGAGGUAUGCUGGAGGUAUCAGAAGUGCGAAUGCUGACAUAAGUAACGAUAAAGCGGGUGAAAAGCCCGCUCGCCGGAAGACCAAGGGUUCCUGUCCAACGUUAAUCGGGGCAGGGUGAGUCGACCCCUAAGGCGAGGCCGAAAGGCGUAGUCGAUGGGAAACAGGUUAAUAUUCCUGUACUUGGUGUUACUGCGAAGGGGGGACGGAGAAGGCUAUGUUGGCCGGGCGACGGUUGUCCCGGUUUAAGCGUGUAGGCUGGUUUUCCAGGCAAAUCCGGAAAAUCAAGGCUGAGGCGUGAUGACGAGGCACUACGGUGCUGAAGCAACAAAUGCCCUGCUUCCAGGAAAAGCCUCUAAGCAUCAGGUAACAUCAAAUCGUACCCCAAACCGACACAGGUGGUCAGGUAGAGAAUACCAAGGCGCUUGAGAGAACUCGGGUGAAGGAACUAGGCAAAAUGGUGCCGUAACUUCGGGAGAAGGCACGCUGAUAUGUAGGUGAAGCGACUUGCUCGUGGAGCUGAAAUCAGUCGAAGAUACCAGCUGGCUGCAACUGUUUAUUAAAAACACAGCACUGUGCAAACACGAAAGUGGACGUAUACGGUGUGACGCCUGCCCGGUGCCGGAAGGUUAAUUGAUGGGGUUAGCGGUAACGCGAAGCUCUUGAUCGAAGCCCCGGUAAACGGCGGCCGUAACUAUAACGGUCCUAAGGUAGCGAAAUUCCUUGUCGGGUAAGUUCCGACCUGCACGAAUGGCGUAAUGAUGGCCAGGCUGUCUCCACCCGAGACUCAGUGAAAUUGAACUCGCUGUGAAGAUGCAGUGUACCCGCGGCAAGACGGAAAGACCCCGUGAACCUUUACUAUAGCUUGACACUGAACAUUGAGCCUUGAUGUGUAGGAUAGGUGGGAGGCUUUGAAGUGUGGACGCCAGUCUGCAUGGAGCCGACCUUGAAAUACCACCCUUUAAUGUUUGAUGUUCUAACGUUGACCCGUAAUCCGGGUUGCGGACAGUGUCUGGUGGGUAGUUUGACUGGGGCGGUCUCCUCCUAAAGAGUAACGGAGGAGCACGAAGGUUGGCUAAUCCUGGUCGGACAUCAGGAGGUUAGUGCAAUGGCAUAAGCCAGCUUGACUGCGAGCGUGACGGCGCGAGCAGGUGCGAAAGCAGGUCAUAGUGAUCCGGUGGUUCUGAAUGGAAGGGCCAUCGCUCAACGGAUAAAAGGUACUCCGGGGAUAACAGGCUGAUACCGCCCAAGAGUUCAUAUCGACGGCGGUGUUUGGCACCUCGAUGUCGGCUCAUCACAUCCUGGGGCUGAAGUAGGUCCCAAGGGUAUGGCUGUUCGCCAUUUAAAGUGGUACGCGAGCUGGGUUUAGAACGUCGUGAGACAGUUCGGUCCCUAUCUGCCGUGGGCGCUGGAGAACUGAGGGGGGCUGCUCCUAGUACGAGAGGACCGGAGUGGACGCAUCACUGGUGUUCGGGUUGUCAUGCCAAUGGCACUGCCCGGUAGCUAAAUGCGGAAGAGAUAAGUGCUGAAAGCAUCUAAGCACGAAACUUGCCCCGAGAUGAGUUCUCCCUGACUCCUUGAGAGUCCUGAAGGAACGUUGAAGACGACGACGUUGAUAGGCCGGGUGUGUAAGCGCAGCGAUGCGUUGAGCUAACCGGUACUAAUGAACCGUGAGGCUUAACCUUACAACGCCGAAG